AGAGUUUGAUCCUGGCUCAGGAUGAACGCUAGCUACAGGCUUAACACAUGCAAGUCGAGGGGCAGCAUGAUUCCAGCUUGCUGGAAUUGAUGGCGACCGGCGCACGGGUGAGUAACGCGUAUCCAACCUACCGUAUACUCAGGGAUAGCCUUCCGAAAGGGAGAUUAACACCUGAUAGUAUCUAUAGACCUCAUAGUCUUAAGAUUAAAUGUAAAGGUAUAUGAUGGGGAUGCGUUCCAUUAGAUAGUAGGUGGGGUAACGGCCCACCUAGUCGACGAUGGAUAGGGGUUCUGAGAGGAAGGUCCCCCACAUUGGAACUGAGACACGGUCCAAACUCCUACGGGAGGCAGCAGUGAGGAAUAUUGGUCAAUGGAUGAGAAUCUGAACCAGCCAAGUAGCGUGAAGGAUGACGGCCCUACGGGUUGUAAACUUCUUUUGAAAGGGAAUAAAGUGUGGUACGUGUACCAUAUUGUAUGUACCUUUGGAAUAAGCAUCGGCUAACUCCGUGCCAGCAGCCGCGGUAAUACGGAGGAUGCGAGCGUUAUCCGGAUUUAUUGGGUUUAAAGGGUGCGUAGGCGGACGCUUAAGUCAGUUGUGAAAGUUCGAGGCUCAACCUUGGAAUUGCAAUUGAUACUGGUAGUCUAGAGAUUACAUAAGGUAGGCGGAAUUCGUGGUGUAGCGGUGAAAUGCUUAGAUAUCACGAAGAACUCNCAUUGCGAAGGCAGCUUGCCGGGGUACAUCUGACGCUGAGGCACGAAAGUAUGGGUAUCAAACAGGAAUAGAUACCCUGGUAG
rnacentral:rRNA from 1 species